ACGCUGGCGGCGUGCCUAACACAUGCAAGUCGAGCGAGGAGAUCCUCGGGAUGAUCCUAGCGGCGGACGGGUGAGUAACACGUGGGCAACCUGCCUCAUAGAGAGGAAUAGCCUUCCGAAAGGGAGAUUAAUACCUCAUAACAUUGCAGUUUCGCAUGGAACAGCAAUUAAAGGAGCAAUCCGCUAUGAGAUGGGCCCGCGGCGCAUUAGCCAGUUGGUGAGGUAACGGCUCACCAAGGCGACGAUGCGUAGCCGACCUGAGAGGGUGAUCGGCCACAUUGGGACUGAGACACGGCCCAGACUCCUACGGGAGGCAGCAGUGGGGAAUAUUGCACAAUGGGGGAAACCCUGAUGCAGCCAACGCCGCGUGAGUGAUGACGGCCUUCGGGUUGUAAAGCUCUGUCUUCAGGGACGAUAAUGACGGUACCUGAGGAGGAAGCCACGGCUAACUACGUGCCAGCAGCAGC
rnacentral:rRNA from 1 species